GAUGAACGCUGGCGGCGUGCCUAAUACAUGCAAGUCGAGCGAACGGACGAGAAGCUUGCUUCUCUGAUGUUAGCGGCGGACGGGUGAGUAACACGUGGAUAACCUACCUAUAAGACUGGGAUAACUUCGGGAAACCGUAGCUAAUACCGGAUAAUAUUUUGAACCGCAUGGUUCAAAAGUGAAAGACGGUCUUGCUGUCACUAAUCGAUGGAUCCGCGCUGCAUUGGCUAGUUGGUAAGGUAACGGCUUACCAAGGCAACGAUGCAUAGCCGACCUGAGAGAGUGAUCGGCGACAUUGGAAGGGAAACACGGUCCAGACUCCUACGGGAGGCAGCAGUAGGGAACGUUCGGCAAUGGUCGAAAGCCUGGCGGAGCAGCGCCGAGUGAGUGAUGAAGGUCUUCGGAUCGUAAAACUCUGUUAUUAGGGAAGAACAGAUGUGUAAGUAACUGUGCACAUCUUGACGGUACCGAAUCAGAAAGCCACGGCUAACUACGUG
rnacentral:rRNA from 1 species